rnacentral:rRNA from 1 species
GACGAACGCUGGCGGCGUGCUUAACACAUGCAAGUCGAACGGAAAGGCCCUGCUUGCAGGGUACUCGAGUGGCGAACGGGUGAGUAACACGUGGGUGAUCUGCCCUGCACUUCGGGAUAAGCCUUGGAAACUGGGUCUAAUACCGGAUAGGAGCCAUUUUUCGUGUGAUGGUUGGAAAGUUUUUUCGGUGUAGGAUGAGCUCGCGGCCUAUCAGCUUGUUGGUGGGGUAAUGGCCUACCAAGGCGGCGACGGGUAGCCGGCCUGAGAGGGUGGACGGCCACAUUGGGACUGGGAUACGGCCCAGACUCCUACGGGGGGCAGCAGUGGGGAAUAUUGCAAAAUGGGCGCAAGCCUGAUGCAGCGACGCCGCGUGGGGGAUGACGGUCUUCGGGUUGUAAACUCCUUUCGCUAGGGACGAAGCUUUUUGUGACGGUACCUAGAUAAGAAGCACCGGCUAACUACGUG